GCCUGGGUGGCUCAGUUGGUUGAGCGUCCGACUUUGGCUCAGGUCACGAUCUCGCGGUCCGUGGGUUCGAGCCCCGCGUCGGGCU
rnacentral:tRNA from 1 species